rnacentral:lncRNA from 10 species
CUUUUGCAAGCCUCGAGGAUCAGCUUCUACUCUUGCAUCCAUUUUCUUGAGCAAAAAAAGAAAUGAAUCAGUAUUAGAAAGCUCUGAGAACAGGGAAAACUGAGCACAAGACCACUACAAAUAAAGACUGCAUUUCCCAACCUCCCCUGAAGCUAGGUAUGCACAUGUGACUAAGUUCUAUCAACAGGAUAUCAACAGAAGUGUCAUAUCAGCAACUUCCACAAACUUUCCUUUGGAGAGAGCUGGUCCAUAUGGUUAGCUCCCUUGUCUCUCCCUCCUUUCUUCUUCCUGAAACAAAGAUGCUGCCAUCUUGAAGCUAAGGACAACCACACUCUUAGGAUGGAGGAGCAGUGAGAUUGAAGGAGCCUGCAGCCCCAAGGACUUUUAGAGCAAGAGUCAUUAUCAGCCUGUCCUGCCUACCUUCCAACUUUUAUAUGAGAAACAACACACUUCUAUCUAGGUGAAACCACUAUUAUUUUUGGAGGUUUUCUGUUACUGCUGAGCCUAAGGUUCAUUGAUACAGAAAAGACAACAUAUUCAGAGGAAAUAGGAAAUAGUACUCAACUUUAAGAAAUAUCAUAAACUUGAGAAGGAUAUGAGUAGUAUACUUUUUACAAAGCAGAAAAUUAUGAGUUUCACAAGAGAGAUUGAACAAAAUAUCAUUGAAGAUGGAAAAAAUAAAAGGGAAACAAAUCACUUCUGAUAGAAGAACAUAAGAGAAGGAAUCAUCGUUCAGGUGAUAUUUGAGACAGGUCUUCAAAGAAGAAUAGAAUUGUGACAGAUGAAAGUGAGGAGGCAUUGAAAUAGGAGAUGAAAGGCAAGCUAGGCAGAAGGAACAGCAUUACAAAGACAUGGAAGUGGAAAAGCAUGAAUUGUGUUCUGGGAAUGUUAGAUGAUUGAGUUUAAUAGGAGCACAGGUUGUAGACAGUGAUUGUUACUGACACCCAGUGGACCUAUUUGUUUAUCCUGCUGCAUUUUAUUUCAUGACCUUUGUCACUAGCUGACAGUAUAUUAUUAUAUUGACUUUAUAUUGUCUGUUUAUUUUCUAGAAUUACUAAAAUAAAAGUUCUCAAACUUUUUGGUCAUUAUCAAAAAUUAGUAAAAGCCCCAAAGAGCUUUUGUUUAUGUGAGUUAUAUCUAUAAAUACUUACUGUACCAGACAGUUAAAUUGAGAAAAUUUUAAAUAGCUA